rnacentral:rRNA from 1 species
AUUUCAAUAAAUUAAUUAUAGCUCUUAAAUAAACAACAAAAAUUCUUUUUUUAAAAAAUAAAAUUAAAAAAUUAAAUAGUAAAAGUAUAAUAAUUAGAAAAACAAAAUUAAGAAGCUAAAACCAAAGUACUGUAAAGGAAAUAUGAAAAAAUUAAAUAACAAUUUAUAAAAAAGAAAAAAUUAAUAAUUUUUACCUUUUGUAUUAUGGUUUAACAACAAAAAAAGAAAAAAAACUCUUUACCCGAAACCAAGGGAUCUAAUGAAACCCCAAUAAAGUGAUUGUAAAGUAUUACUGUUUCAAAAGUAAACUAAGAGGAUUCAUUAGCCAUGAAAAAUGAAACGAACUUGGUGAUAGCUGGUUUUCUGAAUAAAUGAGUAUUAGCUCAAGCUACUACAUUUUUUAUUAAAAAUAAUCAAAAAAUAAAUAGAAAGCUAAACCAAAAGGGAUAAGCUUUUUGGUUAAAGGAAAAAACCUAAAAAAAUAGUUAAAGUCAAAAAUAACACAUGAAAGAAAUAACGUAUAGUAGGCCUAGAAGCAGCCACCUAAGAAAAAGCGUUAAAGCAUAACAAAAAACAAUAUCAAUAAUUUAUGAAAAAAAAACUAUAACUCUUAAUUAAUUAACAGAAUAAUAGCUAUUAAGCUAAAAAAUAAUGUUAAAAUUAGUACUUUUUAUUUUGAUUCAGUUAAAAAUAAACUAUCCUAACAAUUUUUAAUGGAAGAAAGAAAAUAAUAUUACCAAGAAAAAAAUUUUCAUAAUAGUUAACCCAACACUGGAAAUCAACCAAAAUAAUAAAUAAUAGAAAGGAACUCGGCAAAAUUAGCCUCGCCUGUUUACCAAAAACAUCGCUCCUUGUAAAAAAUUAAUAAGGAGUACUGCCUGCCCAGUGACUAAAAAUUCAACGGCCGCGGUAUCUUGACCGUGCAAAGGUAGCAUAAUAAUUUGCUCUUUAAUUGAGGGCUAGUAUGAAAGGCAAGACGAAGGCUCAACUGUCUCCCUAUUAAAUAAAGAAAUUUAUAUUUUAGUGAAGAAGCUAAAAUAUAAACGCAAGACGAGAAGACCCUGUCGAGCUUAAGAAAAUUUUUAUAUUUACAAAAAACAAAGCUAAUAAAUAAUAAUACUUAUAUAUAAACAAAAAAUAGAAAUAUCUUUGGUUGGGGCAACCACGAAGAAAAAAAAACCUUCGAUUUUUAAAAAAAAUAAACAAAUUUAAAAACUAUAAAGAUAUAAUAAUGAUCCGGAACUACCGAACAAAGAAAAAAGUUACCGCAGGGAUAACAGCGUUAUUCUCUUUAAGAGCUCGUAUUGACAAGAGAGUUUGCGACCUCGAUGUUGGACCGGGGCACCCAAGAGAUGCAGAAGUCUCUAAAGGUAGGUCUGUUCGACCUUUAAAGCCCUACGCGAUCUGAGUUCAGACCGACGCAAGUCAGGUCAGUUUCUAUCUACGUAAAAAAGCAGCCUUAUUAGUACGAAAGGAAUUUAAAGCAGGAACUAAUUAUUCUAGAAAAACUCCAAAUAAAAAACUGAAAAAAAAUUAAGAAAGCUUU